UCAUGUUGAAACAUCGGCUGUCUUACGAUCACUGAAGUUAAGCAACGUUGAGUCUGGUCAAUACCUACAUGGGUGAUCGCUUGGGAAUACCAGGUGCUGUAAG